GAAAGCACUUGUCAUUCUAAUAGGGGAGUAAUGUCACUUUGUGGGGACAGCAUGGCCUUGGGAGAAAGGAUGCUUCCUCUUCCCUUUGCACUGACUUUAUCUGUCUCUGUUAUUCUAUCCUGAUGCGUGGCGGGACAGAGGUUUACUUCCUUGGUCUGAUGUAAUUUUAUUUUCACGCCCCGCCUUCCUCUGAGACACCAAAUAGUCUGAAUGCUUCUCCUGUCGCUGUACUUUUGAGAGUUAGAUAUGUUGGAAUCCCUUCCACACUCUAGAAUGAAACUCUGGUUUCUUCAAGAUCUUAGGUCAACUUUCUGAAUUUCUAUUUUGGUCAAGAAAAUUUUCGUUUUCUCCUAUAGUACAGGGUCAAAGAUGGCUUGUUGACCCUUUGAGACCCUGCCAGUCCUUGCCCUGUUGGAAACAAGCCAUUUCUCUGCUUCCAUCCCUGUUAUUAUAUAUGGUUUGCCUGUGUCUCUCUGUGGCCAGAACUCCACACUUUAUGCCUCCAAGAGAGAAGGAAGAGAAAGGGCCUUCCCAGUCCAGGCCCCCUGCUAUGCCUGUGACACCUGCUGAGCGGGCCAGCCGGAGCCUGGCGUGUGCUUGGCUGGCAGAGAGGCCGUCCUGUUCUGUGGAUCUCAAGGGUGGCAUGUGGUGUCCUUGUUCCAGGAAAUUGUACUGCCCCAGAUCGUGACUGGAGUUGCAGCCAACCUUGUCAAUGCCCUCGCCAACUAUCUGUUUCUCCAUCAACUGCAUCUUGGGGUGAUAGGCUCCGCACUGGCGAAUUUGAUUUCCCAGUACACCCUGGCUCUACUCCUCUUUCUCUACAUCCUUGGGAAAAAACUGCAUCAAGCGACAUGGGGAGGCUGGUCACUCGAGUGCCUGCAGGACUGGGCCUCCUUCCUUCGCCUGGCCGUCCCCAGCAUGCUGAUGCUGUGCAUGGAGUGGUGGGCCUAUGAGGUCGGGAGCUUCCUCAGCGGCAUCCUCGGCAUGGUGGAGCUGGGCGCUCAGUCCAUCGUGUAUGAACUGGCCAUCAUUGUGUACAUGGUAAGCAGCGGGGGCCAGCCAUGGGGAGGUGCCAGGCGUUUCCUUGCUCGGUAUCUGAAAGAGUCGAUGGGUGAGCACAGGCAGUACGUGAAUGGUUGGUAAAAUGAUGGACAAAAGUCCAGUCCCAUCCUUGAGCAUGGGAGGGUACCUCUGCUACGGCUGGAUCUUCCCUGGGAACUGAAGGGGGCUGGACAGAGACUGCUCAUGAUCUGCUGCUUCUCCGUCUCCUAACGCAGUUCCCAGCCGAAUCUUCCCUUUGUUUCCAUAUUUUUAGAAUCUUUUUCAGUUGCCACAACACAAAUGCCUUGAGGGGCCAGGUGGGUUGCUUAGCAGAGGGAUGAGACUGGGUAUAUGACCAUAAAUACCACUCUGCAUGUGCCACCAUGUCUGCUGCUGCCUGGUUCUGAAGCCUCUGAAAACACAGCGUGGCCACUCCUAGGUAGAUCCCCAAAAGAACUGAAGCAGGGUCUU